GACGAACGCUGGCGGCGUGCCUAAUACAUGCAAGUAGAACGCACAGUUUAUACCGUAGCUUUCUACACCAUAGACUGGGAGUUGCGAACGGGUGAGUAACGCGUAGUGAACCUGCCUGGUAGCGGGGGUUAACUAGUGGAAACGAGAGCUAAUACCGCAUAGUAUUAAUUGUUGCAUGAGAAUUAAUUGAAAGGUUCAAUUUCACCACUACCAGAUGGACCUGCGUUGUAUUAGCUAGUAGGUGAGGUAACGGCUCACCUAGGCGACGAUACAUAGCCGACCGGAGACGGGGGUCGGCCAACCUGGAAAUGAGACCUGGCCCACACUCCUAAGGGCGGCAGCAGUAGGGAAUCGUCGGCAAUGGACGAAAGUCUGACCGAGCAACGACGCGCGAGUGAAGAAGGGUGUCGGAUCGUAAAGCUCUGUUGUCAGAGAAGAACGGGUGUGCGAGUGGAAAGUUCACACUGUGACGGUAGCUGACCAGAAAGGGACGGCUAACUACGUG
rnacentral:rRNA from 1 species